GGUGGAUUGGCUCAGCAGUUAGAGCGUAGCUCUCAUACCGAAAGGUUGCGGGAUCGAAUCCCGCUAGAGGCUG
rnacentral:tRNA from 1 species